GAUGAAGAACGCAGCGAAAUGCGAUAAGUAAUGUGAAUUGCAGAAUUCAGUGAAUCAUCGAAUCUUUGAACGCACAUUGCGCCCGUCAGUAUUCUGGCGGGCAUGCCUGUUCGAGCGUCAUUACGCCCCUCAAGUCCCCUGUGGACUUGGUGUUGGGGAUCGGCGAGGCUGGUUUUCCAGCACAGCCGUCCCUUAAAUUAAUUGGCGGUCUCGCCGUGGCCCUCCUCUGCGCAGUAGUAAAACACUCGCAACAGGAGCCCGGCGCGGUCCACUGCCGUAAAACCCCCCAACUUUUUAUAGUUGACCUCGAAUCAGGUAGGACUACCCGAUGAACUUAAGCAUAUCAAUAAGCGGAGGA
rnacentral:misc_RNA from 1 species